rnacentral:rRNA from 1 species
GACGAACGCUGGCGGCGUGCUUAACACAUGCAAGUCGAGCGAGUGGAUUCCCUUCGGGGAUGAAGCUAGCGGCGGACGGGUGAGUAACACGUGGGCAACCUGCCUUAUAGAGGGGGAUAGCCUUCCGAAAGGAAGAUUAAUACCGCAUAACAUCAGAUUAUCGCAUGGUAGACUGAUCAAAGGAGCAAUCCGCUAUAAGAUGGGCCCGCGUCGCAUUAGCUAGUUGGUGAGGUAACGGCUCACCAAGGCGACGAUGCGUAGCCGACCUGAGAGGGUGAUCGGCCACAGUGGGACUGAGACACGGCCCAGACUCCUACGGGAGGCAGCAGUGGGGAAUAUUGCACAAUGGGGGAAACCCUGAUGCAGCAACGCCGCGUGAGUGAUGAAGGCCUUCGGGUUGUAAAGCUCUUUGAUCAGGGACGAUAAUGACGGUACCUGAAGAACAAGCCACGGCUAACUAUGUGCCAGCAGCCGCAGUAAUAC